rnacentral:rRNA from 1 species
GAUGAACGCUGGCUACAGGCUUAACACAUGCAAGUCGAGGGGAAACGCCGGGGAAGCUUGCUUCCCCGGGCGUCGACCGGCGCACGGGUGAGUAACGCGUAUCCAACCUGCCUCUGACUGAGGGAUAACCCGUCGAAAGUCGGCCUAAUACCUCAUGGCAUCGUCUGCGGGCAUCCAACGACGAUUAAAGAUUUCAUCGGUCAGAGAUGGGGAUGCGUCUGAUUAGCUUGUUGGCGGGGUAACGGCCCACCAAGGCGACGAUCAGUAGGGGUUCUGAGAGGAAGGUCCCCCACAUGGGAACUGGGACACGGUCCAAACUCCUACGGGAGGCAGCAGUGAGGAAUAUUGAUCAGUGGGCGAGAGCCUGAACCAGCCAAGUAGCGUGCAGGAUGACGGCCCUAUGGGUUGUAAACUGCUUUUAGGCGGGGAUAAAGUGAGGGACGUGUCCUUCAUUGCAGGUACCGCAUGAAUAAGGACCGGCUAAUUCCGUG